GACGAACGCUGGCGGCGUGCUUAACACAUGCAAGUCGAACGGAAAGGCCUGCUUUCCCUUGUGGAUUGCGGGUACUCGAGUGGCGAACGGGUGAGUAACACGUGAGUGAUCUGCCCCCAACUUGGGUAUAAGCCUGGGAAACUGGGUCUAAUUCCCGAUAGGACUGCAGGGUGGUGCCUGUGGUGGCAAACGAUUUUCUAGUGGUUGGGGAUGAGCUCGCGGCCUAUCUGGUUGUUGGUGAGGUAAUGGCCUACCAAGGCGGCGACGGGGAGCCGGACUGGGAGGGGGGACGAGCGCAUUGAGACUGAGAUUCGGCCCAGACUGCUGCGGGAAGCAGCAGUGGGGGAUAUAGCGGAGAAGGCGGGAGCCUGAGGCAGCGACGCAGCGAGGGAGAUGGCGGGCUUGGGGUUGUAAGCUCCUUUGGACCGCGAGGAAGCUACCUGGUUGGAAGGGUGGUGACGGUAGUGGUAGAAGAAGCACCGGCUAACUACGUG
rnacentral:rRNA from 1 species